rnacentral:lncRNA from 1 species
GAGACCCUAGAAGGAACGGUCAUCCCCCGGACUUGGAAUGCCGAUAAUCUCAGGUUGUACUACCAGUGAACUUUGUAUCCCCUCGUCCGGAAUACAAAUUUAGUUUCAAAACUUUGGAGUCUGGAAUCUCAACUCUUCGACUGUGGGUCAGUGCUCGCCAGAAGUACGAGCCCCGAUGCCCUGACUUGAGCCCAACAUUCUGUUGGAAAUCAAUGGCCCGAUCGCCAACGACACAUCAGACGCUUACGAGGAUCGAUAUAUCCACAAC